UUCUUAUUGGAUGAUGACUAUCACUUGCCAUGUUCUGAUUGGAUGUCAACUCUAUGGAAGAUGAAAUGCAUUAAUUAUUGUUUUCAUUGACCAAUCAAAACAUGAUACAUGACAGUUAUUAUCC
rfam:Glycine soja cultivar W05 scaffold113_95, whole genome shotgun sequence.